rnacentral:lncRNA from 1 species
AUUUCUGUUGUACAGGGAAUGGGUUAAGUAUGUUUGAGAUGCAUGUGUCCAAUUUGAUUGAUUGAUAGAUAGAUAAUAGAGUGUCGGUUAUCCAGACACAUGGCACAUUACUGAAAAGCUCAAUUGGCAGAAAAAAAAUAUAGACUAGCAUUUACUUAUUAUGAUCUAAAAUUUGAGAGGAUUAGAGAGAUAGCUCAGUGGUUAAAAUCACUGGCUGCUCUUGCAGAGGACCCAAGUUUGAUUCCCAGUACCCACACAGUAGCUCAUAUCCAUCUAUCAACAGCUCCUCUUCCGGAGGAUCUGAUGCUCUCUCUGACCUUUGCUGUGACCAGACGCACACUUAGUGAACAGACACGUACACAAGGCAAAAAAACCGUACAAUAAAAGCAAAUAAAGAUACAAAAUUAGAUAGAUAGAUAGAUAGAUAGAUGGAUGGAUGGAUGGAUGGAUGGAUGGAUGGAUGGAUAGAUAGAUGGAUAGAUGGAUAGGUAGAUGGAUGGAUAGGUAGAUAGAUGGAUAGAUAAGUAAAUUGCCAUGCUGCUGAUUGAUCACAGGGCCUUGUGCUGGGCAAGUGCUCAGCCACUGAGCUAUAACUCCAGCCCUUAUUUACUAUGUUUUCAUAAAUAAUUUCUAAGUUCUUCCCGCUAUGCAUUAAUAUUAUAUAUUGUAUAAUUUAUAUAAAUUUGGUUUGACAUAAUUCUGUUGGAUCUUUCCUAAUCUCAGACUCAGAGCCCUCACACAUGCUAAGCAAAUGAUGUCUCACUGAGCUACCAUCCUCAGAGUAAGCUUAGUGAACACAAGGACUUCAAGUUGCAGUUUGAGCUUCACUGUUGAUUUCUGCCCAUCUGUAUCGCCCUAUUCAGACACCACUGGGUAAGCCUUGAAGAAGGCUCCCAUUACAGAAGUCCAUUGUCCACACAAGAAAAACAAGCAGAUUGUCUUCCUGCUCUCUUCCCUGGUGUGUUUGAAUGUAGAAUGCACCCUACACACACAAUGCUGCAGAGCAGGUGCACAGUUGAAAGCUUCUCUUAAGCUUUGAACGUAUGAAUGUAUGAAUUCCUGGGCCACUGGGCUGUCUGAAGAGUUUUUGAUAGUUUACCAUUGAAUAGAUCUCUCUAGUUGGAACAUGGCUCUUAAACAAAAGAGAACAGGUCUUCAACUAUUAUUACUAAAAGCAGUGUUGGCAGAGUUUGAAGAAAUCAAGGGUACAUAUGGGGCUCGAGUAGCUUGUAUUGCUGUUCCUGCUUUUAAAGAGUACGUCGUGAGGUGUGUGCUCAACUUCUCCAACUCUUUCGUCUCUAAGGAAAGACUGUCUGGUUCAUUUCUUUAUCUCUCUCGGCCUCAUAGAAAUAAUAGCACCCAAUAAAAUGUUCACUGCCUCUCCAUGACCUGGAUUCCUGUUGAUAACAUGGAAUGAAAUUAUCUUUGGUACUUUUCUGUUAUCGCUUCCAGCCUUAUACUGGAAGAAAAUAAAAUUUGUAACUUCUGUUUGUGAGCCUUUAUUAGUCAUUCUGGAACCUUUUAUCUUGAUGCCAUUUCAUUUAUUUGGUUCAGAAUCAUAAGUCAUAACCAAUAAUCCCACCAUUCCUUUUUAAAGGAAAAUUGCUGACUGCUGGCCCAUGACUUGUGGACUCACUAUUAUAUUUUGUUACUUAGUGUUUAUUAUAAAAUUUUCAUGAACAAAGCCACUUAAUACCAUAACAAUGGUGUUAAGGGGAAAAGAUACAUUGUCAACUCUAUAAUGAUAAGUGAGGUCUAGCAUGACCAUUACUGGAGUUGAAAGUGGAACUUGCCUGUGUGACAGAACUGUGCCUGUUUUGUAAGCCUGCUAACAUAGAGUCCUGGGUAGGAAUUGAGAGGGGAGGCUGCACCUUUGUGCUCUGGAGUUGGACACGUGGUUUCCUGGGUGUGAAAGCUCUGGCUGAGGAGCAUCUCCGUACAGCUCAGCAAUGUCACGCUGCCCUGCCUCUCCUCCGUAGUGCUGCUUCCAUCACGAGAUUAUCCUGUUCACCUCACUGCUUCUCUCCUUAUCGGCUACUUUGCUUUACCUGCUGUGGAUUGCUGGUACUUAGCUCUGACUUUGGCCCUUGCUAGGAGCUUGAUUGAUGAGUAAUCAAAAGCAUACACAGACUCGAGUCCAUGGAUACCUAAUUGAAAUUUUUUUACUGUUUUGAGACAAGGUCAGUGUCACCUACGAUUGCCUCAAACUCAGAAUCUGUCUCCCUCAAACUUCUGAGUGCUAUGGUUACAGGUGUACACCACCAUGCCCUGUUCCUAUUUUGAAUUUCUUCUACAUACUGGAGUUGUGGAACACAUAGAGAGAUUUCAGGAGGUAGACAGAUGGUUCAGAGGUUAAGCAAACUUGUUAGUUGGCUCAGAGGUUAAACAAACUUGGUGGUUGGCUCAGAGGUUGAACAAACUUGCUGGUUUUGCAGAAGGCCCAGGCUCCAUUCUCAGCACUCUUCAUGGUGGCUCACAUGUAUCUGUAACUCCAGUUCCAGGGCAUCCAGCAUCCUCUUUUGGCCUCCAUGGGCACUGCACACAAAUGAUACACAUUCAUACAUGCAGGCAGAAUACUCAUACACAUACAAUAAAUAAAAUUUAG